rnacentral:rRNA from 1 species
AGAGUUUGAUCCUGGCUCAGAACGAACGCUGGCGGCGCGCCUAACACAUGCAAGUCGAACGAGGUCCUUCGGGGCCUAGUGGCGGACGGGUGAGUAACGCGUGGGAACCUGCCCUGGAGUACGGGAUAACUCGGGGAAACUCGGGCUAAUACCGUAUACGUCCUUUUGGAGAAAGAUUUAUCGCUCUGGGGUGGGCCCGCGUCCGAUUAGCUUGUUGGUGGGGUAACGGCCCACCAAGGCGACGAUCGGUAGCUGGUCUGAGAGGACGAUCAGCCACACUGGGACUGAGACACGGCCCAGACUCCUACGGGAGGCAGC